AGCUCCCCAAACCUACAAAUUCUUCCCUUAAUUUCACGCUUUAGUUUCUCUGUUUUUUUUCCCCCAAUAUGAGCGACUACAAAAACGGCUAUCCCUAUCCCUAUACUCCUCCAGGUGGUUAUAAUCAAGGGCCGCCUCCAGUAAUGGCGCCUCCUCAGUAUUAUGAAGCAGCACCACCGCCACCCCGGAGAGAACCGGGUUUUCUCGAGGGAUUCCUUGCAGCUUUAUGUUGUUGCUGUCUCCUGGAUGACUUCUGCUGCGACCCGUCUGUGAUAAUUGUGGACUAGGGAUCCCACAGCGUUGACAAAUUCAUUUAUGUAUUGUUGGACAUUUGUGGAUCCACCGACAGCGUGGUGUGAACAACAACAUCCGUUAAUUGCUAGCAUGAGCGGCAGGAACUUUGUUACAACAUAUGAUGAGCUCAGAGGCCACACAUCACCCAAUUCCCCAGGUCAGAUGAGCUCAAUUUAUUUGCAUCAGCCAAUUUUUAUUUAAGCA